rnacentral:rRNA from 1 species
AACGAACGCUGGCGGCAUGCCUAACACAUGCAAGUCGAACGAGACCUUUGGGUCUAGUGGCGCACGGGUGCGUAACGCGUGGGAAUCUGCCCUUGGGUUCGGAAUAACAGUGAGAAAUUGCUGCUAAUACCGGAUGAUGUCUUCGGACCAAAGAUUUAUCGCCCAGGGAUGAGCCCGCGUAGGAUUAGCUAGUUGGUGGGGUAAUGGCCUACCAAGGCGACGAUCCUUAGCUGGUCUGAGGGGAUGAUCAGCCACACUGGGACUGAGACACGGCCCAGACUCCUACGGGAGGCAGCAGUGGGGAAUAUUGGACAAUGGGCGCAAGCCUGAUCCAGCAAUGCCGCGUGAGUGAUGAAGGCCUUAGGGUUGUAAAGCUCUUUUACCAGGGAUGAUAAUGACAGUACCUGGAGAAUAAGCUCCGGCUAACUCCGUG